UAAAGAAGCAACCUGCUCCAGAGGGGCAGCGGCAAGUCUACUGAGCCAGGGAACUUACCUCGGAGGCUUGACUUCGCAGCCUGAAGUGAAGGACGUCCCAAAUCAAAGGACACAUGCUUGGACGGGAAGUCUGUGCCAGGGGAGGCCAGCCUAGGCUCUCCUCCAAAGCUGGAAUUCCAAGACUUCACACAGACCAACAAGAGCUCUGAGGUUUUUACUUUACAAAUCAAAUGCCUGAGGAUGUGUAAGAGGAUGGUCAUGGAUUUGCAACAAUCGCUUUCUGCAUUCCUGAUCCCAAGCUCUAUGGUGAAUGCCAGUCCCUGACAUGGAAGCUUGGAUUUGAGUAUGUGGCUGUACCAGUAUGAACACGUUACUCAAUUACCUCUGUGUGAAGACCUGCGGAUUGCAAGCUGUCAGGUAUAAAAAUCCCUGUCCUGCAGUAUAAAGAACAGCAUCUACGAACUCUACUCAUACUACUCCAUUUCAUGUUAAUCCAGAAAUAGGAAACUACUACUAAACCACUCUUUGACAACCUUCCCUGUUAUCUGUUUACUGUCCUUGUCUUCUAUACCAUAGGCUCCUGUUGUUGUCUGAUGUAAGGAUAACUGGCUCUCAGCUACUUUAUUUAUGGAUCCCCAGCACCUGGCACCCUGGUAUAAAGAUGUACACCAAACAUUUGUUGAAUAAAUA